rnacentral:rRNA from 1 species
GGAAACGGCUGCUAAUACCUCAUACUCCUAUUUGACAUAAGUUAAAUAGGGAAAGUCUUUUCGGUGUAGGAUGAGACUAUAUCGUAUCAGCUAGUUGGUAAGGUAAUGGCUUACCAAGGCUAUGACGUGUAACUGGUCUGAGAGGAUGAUCAGUCACAUUGGAACUGAGACACGGUCCAAACUCCUACGGGAGGCAGCAGUAAGGAAUAUUGCGCAAUGGGGGAAACCCUGACGCAGCAACGCCGCGUGGAGGAU